AGGUGAAGUAGUAAAUCUCUUCUUGCUAAUCAAUAUGAUAAAAUCAUCAUGAUGAGAUUCAACUAACUUCACUUGA
rnacentral:pre_miRNA from 1 species